CCCUGGUUAGCUCAGUUGGUAGAGCGCUCCACUUGUAAUGGAGAGGUCCCGGGUUCAAUACCCGGACCAGGCG
rfam:Ixodes scapularis strain Wikel colony gcontig_1107728999596, whole genome shotgun sequence.